rnacentral:rRNA from 1 species
ACGUAGGAGGCAAGCGUUAUCCGGAGUUACUGGGCGUAAAGGGCGUGCAGGCGGUUGGCUAAGUUCGUUGUGAAAGCGCCCGGCUCAACCGGGCGAGGACGUACCGAACUGCGGGACUAGAGGCAGGGAGAGGCGUGUGGAAUUCCGGGUGUAGUGGUGAAAUGCGUAGAGAUCCGGAGGAACACCAGUGGCGAAGGCGACACGCUGGGCCUGGCCUGACGCUCAGACGCGAAAGCAUGGGGAGCGAACGG